ACUCCUACGGGAGGCAGCAGUGGGGAAUAUUGCACAAUGGGCGCAAGCCUGAUGCGCAUGCCGCAUGCGUCGUGUGUGAAAGAAAGGGCCCUUCGGGUUGUAAAGCACUUUCAGUUGUGAGGAAAGGUUAGUCGCUAAUAUCGGCUAGCUGUGACGUUAGCAACAGAAGAAGCACCGGCUAACUCCGUGCCAGCAGCCGCGGUAAUACGGAGGGUGCGAGCGUUAAUCGGAAUUACUGGGCGUAAAGCGCGUGUAGGUGGCUUGUUAAGCCAGAUGUG
rnacentral:rRNA from 1 species